UGCUGGAUCUCUGUUGAUUGUAGCUGCAGUCGUGAUGUGCUGCAUCUGCAGGAAAUGUAGAAAAACAGUCCAGACCCAGGAAGAAGACGGAACUGAUUCAGCAUUGUGUAAACCAACAACUCGAAAAGCGAAAUCAAAGUCGAAUGCCGUGUAUGAAAAUGUCCCCAGAAAACGAUGA